rnacentral:rRNA from 1 species
CUAGGAUUAGAUACCCUACUAUUGUAAGCUUAAUUUUGUUAGUAUAUAUUAUUUAUGAAAACAAAAAGUUUUGGCGGUAUUUUAAGCUUUUUAGAGGAAUUUGCUCUGUAAUGGAUAAAACCCCUAAAUCUUACUUAAUCUAGUUAGGAUCAGUUUGUAUACCACUAUGAUUAAUUAUAUUGAAUAAUUAAUUAUUACAAUUUUUUUAAAAAAGAAAAUUAAGUCAAGGUGCAACUUAAGAUUAUGAAUGAAGUGAAUUACAUUGAUUUUUAUAAUAAAAAUGCGAUUGAAAUAUUUUAAAAUAGGAUUUAAAAGUAAAUAAUAAAUAUUAUGUUUUAUUGAAUAAAGCUCUAAAAUAUGCACACAUCGCCCGUCGCUCUCAUU